rnacentral:rRNA from 1 species
GNGCUACCAUGCAGUCGAGCGGCAGCGGGUCCUUCGGGAUGCCGGCGAGCGGCGGACGGGUGAGUAAUGCCUAGGAAUCUGCCUGGUAGUGGGGGAUAACGUUCGGAAACGGACGCUAAUACCGCAUACGUCCUACGGGAGAAAGUGGGGGAUCUUCGGACCUCACGCUAUCAGAUGAGCCUAGGUCGGAUUAGCUAGUUGGUGGGGUAAUGGCUCACCAAGGCGACGAUCCGUAACUGGUCUGAGAGGAUGAUCAGUCACACUGGAACUGAGACACGGUCCAGACUCCUACGGGAGGCAGCAGUGGGGAAUAUUGGACAAUGGGCGAAAGCCUGAUCCAGCCAUGCCGCGUGUGUGAAGAAGGUCUUCGGAUUGUAAAGCACUUUAAGUUGGGAGGAAGGGCAGCUAGUUAAUACCUGGUUGUUUUGACGUUACCAACAGAAUAAGCACCGGCUAACUUCGUGCCAGCAGCCGCGGUAAUACGAAGGGUGCAAGCGUUAAUCGGAAUUACUGGGCGUAAAGCGCGCGUAGGUGGUUCAGCAAGUUGGAGGUGAAAUCCCCGGGCUCAACCUGGGAACUGCCUCCAAAACUACUGAGCUAGAGUACGGUAGAGGGUAGUGGAAUUUCCUGUGUAGCGGUGAAAUGCGUAGAUAUAGGAAGGAACACCAGUGGCGAAGGCGACUACCUGGACUGAUACUGACACUGAGGUGCGAAAGCGUGGGGAGCAAACAGGAUUAGAUACCCUGGUAGUCCACGCCGUAAACGAUGUCGACUAGCCGUUGGGAUCCUUGAGAUCUUAGUGGCGAAGCUAACGCGAUAAGUCGACCGCCUGGGGNAGUACGGCCGCAAGGNUUAAAAACUCAAAUGAAUUGACGGGGGGCCCGCACAAGCGGUGGAGCAUGUGGUUUAAAUUCGAAGCAACGCGAANAACCUUACCUGGCCUUGACAUGCUGANAACUUUCCANANAUGGAUUGGUGCCNUUCNGGNAACUCAAACCCAGGUGCUGCAUGGCUGUCNUCACCUCNNGNUCCNGAAAUGUUGGGGUUAANUCCCNUAACGANCGCAACCCUUGUCCNUNAUUUACCA